rnacentral:rRNA from 1 species
UACGAAGGGGGCUAGCGUUGUUCGGAAUUACUGGGCGUAAAGCGCGCGCAGGCGGUCUUCCAAGUCAGUGGUGAAAAGCCCGGAGCUCAACUCCGGAAUUGCCAUUGAAACUGUUGGACUUGAGGAUGAGAGAGGUGAGUGGAAUUCCCAGUGUAGAGGUGAAAUUCGUAGAUAUUCGGAAGAACACCAGUGGCGAAGGCGACUCACUGGACACGUAUUGACGCUGAGGUGCGAAAGCGUGGGGAGCAAACAGG